rnacentral:rRNA from 1 species
AACGAACGCUGGCGGCAUGCCUAACACAUGCAAGUCGAACGAGACCUUCGGGUCUAGUGGCGCACGGGUGCGUAACGCGUGGGAACCUGCCCUUAGGUUCGGAAUAACUCCCCGAAAGGGGUGCUAAUACCGGAUAAUGUCUUCGGACCAAAGAUUUAUCGCCUUUGGUUGGGCCCGCGUUGGAUUAGCUAGUUGGUAGGGUAAAAGCCUACCAAGGCGACGAUCCAUAGCUGGUCUGAGAGGAUGAUCAGCCACACUGGGACUGAGACACGGCCCAGACUCCUACGGGAGGCAGCAGUGGGGAAUAUUGGACGAGGGGCGAAAGCCUGAUCCAGCAAUGCCGCGUGAGUGAUGAAGGCCUUAGGGUUGUAAAGCUCUUUUACCCGGGAUGAUAAUGACAGUACCGGGAGAAUAAGCACCGGCUAACUCCGUG